CAAGGUCGUGAAAAAAAAGGUCUUGGUGAGGUGCCGCCAUUUCAUCUGUCCUCAUUCUCUGCGCCUUUCGCAGAGCUUCCAGCAGCGGUAUGUUGGGCCAGAGCAUCCGGAGGUUCACAACCUCUGUGGUCCGUAGGAGCCACUAUGAGGAGGGCCCUGGGAAGAUAUGAAGAGCAUUUUAAGAGGUGCAGCCUCUGGAAGUGGAUCAAACUAGAACUCAUAUGCCAUACUAGAUAUGUUUGUCAAUAAACUUAUGACGUG
rnacentral:lncRNA from 1 species